rnacentral:rRNA from 1 species
UACAGAGGUCUCAAGCGUUGUUCGGAAUUACUGGGCGUAAAGGGUGCGCAGGCCGCGCGGGCAGUCAAAUGUGUAAUUCAGGGGCUCAACCCCUGCACUGCGCUUGAUACUUCCGCGCUCGAGCUUUGGAAAGGAGUCUGGAAUUCUCGGUGUAGCAGUGAAAUGCGUGGAUAUCGAGAAGAACACUUAGGGCGAAAGCAAGACUCUGGACAAAUGCUGACGCUCAUGCACGAAGGCUAGGGUAGCGAACGGG